rnacentral:rRNA from 1 species
UACGGGGGGGGCAAGCGUUGUUCGGAAUUACUGGGCGUAAAGGCUCGUAGGCGGCCAACUAAGUCAGACGUGAAAUCCCUCGGCUUAACCGGGGAACUGCGUCUGAUACUGGAUGGCUUGAGUUUGGGAGAGGGAUGCGGAAUUCCGGGUGUAGCGGUGGAAUGCGUAGAGAUCCGGAGGAACACCCGCGGUGUAGACGGCUUACUGGACCAUAACUGACGCUGAGGCACGAAAGCGUGGGUAGCAAACAGG